GAUCAAGCUAGUAAGGGCGCAAGGUGGAUGCCUUGGCACCAGGAGCCGAAGAAGGACGUGGUAAGCUGCGAAAAGCCACGGGUAGCCGCAAACAGGCAGAGAUCCGUGGAUGUCCGAAUGGGGGAACCCGCAUGGCAAAGGCCAUGCAUCCUUAGCUGAACAAAAUAGGCUAAGGAGGGCAAACCCGGGGAACUGAAACAUCUAAGUACCCGGAGGAAAAGAAAGAAUAAUCGAUUCCCUAAGUAGCGGCGAGCGAAAGGGGAGGAGCCCAAACCAGGCGAAAGUCUGGGGUUGAGGACAGGUCAUAGAGUAUACUGGAACCUAGUCGAAGAUGACUGGAAAGUCACGCCAUAGAAGGUAAGAGCCCUGUAGGCGAAAGGGGAAGGUAGAAGGACCUGAUCCAGAGUACCACGGGACACGAGGAAUCCUGUGGGAAGCAGGGUGGACCACCACCCAAGGCUAAAUACUACCUGGUGACCGAUAGCGUAUAGUACCGUGAGGGAAAGGUGAAAAGAACCCCGGGAGGGGAGUGAAAUAGAACCUGAAACCUUGUGCCUACAAGCAGUCGGAGCUCGUUAAUGAGUGACGGCGUGCUUUUUGUAGAACGAGCCAGCGAGUUACGGUAUGUAGCGAGGUUAAGCACCUUAGGUGUGGAGCCGAAGGGAAACCGAGUCUUAAUAGGGCGAAAAGUUACAUGCCGUAGACCCGAAACCGGGUGAUCUAUCCAUGGACAGGGUGAAGACAAGGUAAAACUUGUCGGAGGCCCGAACCACGUUGGUGUUGAAAAACCAUGGGAUGAGCUGUGGAUAGCGGAGAAAUUCCAAUCGAACUCGGAGAUAGCUGGUUCUCCCCGAAAUAGCUUUAGGGCUAGCCUCAGGGCGUAAGUUUAGGAGGUAGAGCACUGAAUGGGCUAGGGGCCGUAUAGGUUACCGAACCCUAUCAAACUCCGAAUGCCUAAACUGAGACCCUGGGAGUCAGACUACGAGUGAUAAGAUCCGUGGUCAAGAGGGAAACAGCCCAGACCACCAGCUAAGGUCCCGAAGUGCAUGUUAAGUGGGAAAGGAUGUGGGAUCUCAGAGACAACCAGGAUGUUGGCUUAGAAGCAGCCAUACAUUUAAAGAGUGCGUAAUAGCUCACUGGUCGAGAGGUCCUGCGCCGAAGAUGUCCGGGGCUAAAACAUGCCACCGAAGCUGUGGGCUCUUAGGAGCGGUAGGGGAGCUUCGUAUACGGGUAGAAGCCAUACCGGAAGGAGUGGUGGACUGUAUACGAGUGAGAAUGCUGGCAUAAGUAGCGAGAAGUAGGUGAGAAUCCUACUCGCCGAAAGCCUAAGGUUUCCUGGGGAAGGUUCGUCCGCCCAGGGUUAGUCGGGACCUAAGCCGAGGCCGAAAGGCGUAGGUGAUGGACAAUCGGUUGAUAUUCCGAUACCACCUGUAGCCGUUUGAGAGAAGGGGUGACGCAGGAGGAUAGGCUGAGCGCACGGAUGGAGAUGUGCGUCCAAGGCGUAAGGCAUGCUCUAUAGGCAAAUCCGUAGAGCUAAGCUGAGCGCUUAAGGGGAGCCGCAAGGCGAAGCAGCUGAUUUCACACUGCCGAGAAAAGCCUCUAUCGAGGAAGCAGGUGCCCGUACCGCAAACCGACACAGGUAGGCGAGGAGAGAAUCCUAAGGCGAGCGAGAGAACCCUCGUUAAGGAACUCGGCAAAUUGACCCCGUAACUUCGGGAGAAGGGGUGCCUGCGAGAGCAGGCCGCAGAGAAUAGGCCCAGGCGACUGUUUAGCAAAAACACAGGUCUCUGCUAAGUCGAAAGACGAAGUAUAGGGGCUGACGCCUGCCCGGUGCUGGAAGGUUAAGGGGAAGGGUGAGAGCUCUGAACCGAAGCCCCAGUAAACGGCGGCCGUAACUAUAACGGUCCUAAGGUAGCGAAAUUCCUUGUCGGGUAAGUUCCGACCCGCACGAAUGGCGUAACGACCUGGGCGCUGUCUCAACGAGGGGCUCGGCGAAAUUGUAGUGCAAGUGAAGAUGCUUGCUACCCGCGAUUGGACGGAAAGACCCCGUAGAGCUUUACUGUAGCUUAGCAUUGGGUUUUGGUAUUGUCUGUACAGGAUAGGUGGGAGGCUAAGAAGUAGGGUCGCAAGGUUCUAUGGAGCCGACGUUGGGAUACCACCCUGAUGAUACUGAAGCCCUAACCGGAGGCUUUGAAGCAAGUCACGGGACAUUGCUAGGUGGGCAGUUUGACUGGGGCGGUCGCCUCCUAAAAGGUAACGGAGGCGCCCAAAGGUUCCCUCAGCGCGGUUGGAAAUCGCGCGGAGAGUGCAAAGGCAGAAGGGAGCUUGACUGAGAGAGAGACAUCUCGAACAGGGACGAAAGUCGGGCUUAGUGAUCCGGUGGUUCUGAGUGGAAGGGCCAUCGCUCAACGGAUAAAAGCUACCUCGGGGAUAACAGGCUGAUCUCCCCCAAGAGUCCACAUCGACGGGGAGGUUUGGCACCUCGAUGUCGGCUCGUCGCAUCCUGGGGCUGAAGUAGGUCCCAAGGGUUGGGCUGUUCGCCCAUUAAAGCGGCACGCGAGCUGGGUUCAGAACGUCGUGAGACAGUUCGGUCCCUAUCCGUCGCGGGCGUAGGAAAUUUGAGGGGAGCUGUCCUUAGUACGAGAGGACCGGGAUGGACGAACCUCUGGUGCACCAGUUGUCAUGCCAAUGGCACAGCUGGGUAGCCAAGUUCGGAAGGGAUAAGCGCUGAAGGCAUCUAAGCGCGAAGCCCACCCCAAGAUGAGAUUUCCCACGCGGAAGCGGUAAGACCCCUGGAAGACUACCAGGUAGAUAGGCCAGAGGUGUAAGCGUCGUAAGGCGUUUAGCUGACUGGUACUAAUAGGUCGAGGGCUUGAUCUU
rnacentral:rRNA from 1 species